CAAAAACUAAUAUUUUCAGUUGAACUAAAGACAGACUUUGUGAUUUUUCUGCUCACAUGUUGUGUUGUUGUAAACUUCCUCUUUCAAAAAAAUAUCCUCCUAACCCCGUGGAAACCAGCGUUUGUGCUGUUUUUGUGUUGCUCCUCAGCGACCCUAGACAGCUGGGUUGUAAUGUUUUUUGAGCAACACACCAUACUAUGACGUUUUUACAAUGAUGGUUCUACUAUGGAACCAGUUUGACAUGUUCAGGUGUUCUUUGUGUGAAAACUCAGAGAUUUCAGGGAUCAGAAGGUGGUUUUCAACUUUCUUUAUUAACUUUCUCAACUUUUCUUCUCCUCAACUUUAAACUAAAUUUCCUUCACUAACCCCGCCCUCUGGACUUCCAGUAAGCUGUGUUCCUAUUGGCUGUCCAGGUGGCUGCUUGGUGUUAUCAGGAACACCUGAGCAGCUCAGUGUCUUCCUUCUUUAUUUAGCUGCAGACAAACAUUUCCUCUGCUUCUGUUCACCAUUUAACCGGGUUUGGCUCCAUUGCUUUAGUCUGUUCUUUAGGCGUUGGCUUGCAGCUUCCAGCAGUAAAAUAGACUUUGAUGUGUUUCUUGGUGUGUUUUAGGGCUUUGUACUGGAUAGUUGUCUUGGUAAAUGUGGUUCUUUAGCCACAGUUAGCACAUGCUGCUAAUGUGUGCAGUGAUUAGUGGAUUUGGUGCAGCUGAGUUGUGUCUUUACCUUGGCUGUAGUGAGUCCUUAGAGGUUUUUGGUCAGACACAUUCUGUAUUCUUGUUUGAGAACCAGCAUUGGUUGUCCAGAAGGUAAGAGUUCCUGUCCUGAUUCUCUGUUCUCAGAGGUUCUCUGGUAGACUGCAGGAGACUUUAGCGUUUGGGUUGUGCUAGUUUGGUUUUUGUAAGGUUUCAUUUGGACGACUAUCUUGAGGCUCCUCCAUGUGGUUUAGUGAGAUUUUCUGGAACAGUUCUACAAAGCAACCUGCAGCAGAAGAGACUUUGAGAGUUUUUAGGAAGUUCUGGAGACCAGACUUUAGAGCAGCAGAAACAUUUGUCAGCAGUUUGAGCAGGAGAAGGUGAGCUUCAGAGUAGAAAUGAGACAGAAACCUUCUUGACCCGUGUGGUGAGGUCCUGUACCAAGAGUUUGAGCAGGUUGUGAAGAGUCUGUAGUUCUUUGGUCUGAAAGCACAAGAAGAGUCGACUCAUUAAAGGAGAAAACAGGAGA
ensembl:lncRNA